rnacentral:misc_RNA from 1 species
UCCGGUUUAACACCGGCAGUCUCACUAGAGUCCGCAGCAUUACCUGUUCGCAACUAGUGAUAGGGGUUUCGCUCGUUAAGGGACUUAACCCGACACUUCACAGCACGAGCUGACGACAGCCAUGCAGCACCUGUGUAUGUUCCACUACAAGAGUGUCAUUCGGCUUUCACCGAACUAAUCCAUACAUGUCAAGCCUAGGAUAAGGUUCUUCGCGUUGCUUCGAAUUGAGCCACAUGCUCCACCGCUUGUGUGAGCCCCCGUCAAUUCCUUUGAGUUUUAGCCUUGCGACCGUACUCCCCAGGCGGUGCACUCAUCGUUUUGACUUCGACCGAGAAUGGUGUCAGAACCUCCUCGAUCUCGUGCACAUCGUUUACGGCGUGGACUAC